GAUGGAUGGGUGAAUUAGUAAACAGAUGGAAGGGAUGGAGGGAGGGGAAGAGAAUGAAUAAAAUAAGCGAGAUACAGUUCUCCUGUUUUGACCUGGUGAAUAUAUUUGGGGGUAGGGAGAGAGCUACCCCUUCAAUUGUUACAUGUUUAUUGAACGUUCACUAGGUGGGAGGUACUAGACUAGGAAAUACUACAGUGUGGAAGACAGAUAGUCUCUGCCCUCACAGACACACACUCUAGUAGGGAUACAGACAAAUAUACAAGUGAUUAUCACAUGCUGUGAUAAAUAUUAUGAGGGGAGUACAGACAGCUAAAGGAAGGCUUCCUGGAGUAAGUGACAUCUAAACUGAACCUUGAAGGAAGAGUAGCUGUUAGCUGGGUGAACAGGGCAUGGGGUGGGGGUGGGGGUAGAGUACUCCAAACAAAGGGAGCAGUGUGAGCAUCAAGCCCAGGAGCAGGAGCCAAACAGGUUUGAGGAAGAGCUUACAGGUAGAAGAACCUCAGGCGUGUGUUUGAGUACCAGCCAGUGGAGCCGCCGCCUUAUCCUGCCGCAGCUACUCCCCCUCGGUGGACAUCUGGUGUUUUCCUCUGCCUAGGAUCAUCCAGUCCUCCUUCUGGAACAGCUUCCUGAUUUUCUUUGAGGAAAUCCCCAAAAUUCCCCUCCACCAUUCUCACACCAUGCGGUCCAUGAGCAACUGACAUCGCCCUCCAAUCUCGGGGGGUGGGCAUGAGACCCAGGUCUGGCCAAUCAGGACACAAUAUGUUAAUCUGGCCACAGCGAUUGGAGCUCAUGAUCCCACCCCGGCCAAUUAAAGACAGCCCUGGGGCUUUGCCGGACACCUUCGGAAGGGCGGCUUCUCUUCCCACCAGGGGGCGCUGAGCUGAUGGAAGGUGAGCUUGCAGUGGCGGGACCAUCUUGUCACGACGUGGGAGAAGCCGGCCUGAUGAUGAAGCCAACACAGAGAAAACCAAAACCAAAAGACGGAGAGAGACUGAUUCUUAAAGGUACUAUACCAGCUGCUGGAAAUGCUACUACUUGGAAGACAGGGUCUCUGGCCUCACAGAAUAUACACGCUCCUAGGGAGACAGACAAUUAAAGAAGCUGGAUCCAGCUAUGCCUGAGCUACCUCCUCACAUGGUUUAAUAAACUGUCAUUUUUACAUAAGCCA